CAGUCGAGCGCCCUACUUCGGUAGGGAGCGGCGGACGGGUGAGUAACGCGUGGGAACGUGCCCUUUAGUUCAGAAUAGCCACUGGAAACGGUGAGUAAUACUGAAUACGCCCUUCGGGGGAAAGAUUUAUCGCUAAAGGAUCGGCCCGCGUUGGAUUAGCUAGUUGGUGGGGUAAAGGCCUACCAAGGCAACGAUCUACAGCUGGUCUGAGAGGAUGAUCAGCCACACUGGGACUGAGACACGGCCCAGACUCCUACGGGAGGCAGCAGUGGGGAAUAUUGGACAAUGGGGGCAACCCUGAUCCAGCCAUGCCGCGUGAGUGAAGAAGGCCCCAGGGUUGUAAAGCUCUUUCAGAUGUGAGGAUGAUGACAGUAGCAUCAGAAGAAGCACCGGCUAACUUCGUGCCAGCAGCCGCGGUAAUACGAAGGGUGCUAGCGUUGUUCGGAAUUACUGGGCGUAAAGGGCGUGUAGGCGGAUGAUCAAGCUAGAGGUGAAAGCCCAGGGCCUAACCCUGGAACUGCCUUUAGAACUGAUUGUCUAGAAUCCGUAAGGGGAGUGUGGAAUUCCUAGUGUAGAGGUGAAAUUCGUAGAUAUUAGGAAGAACACCAGUGGCGAAGGCGGCACUCUGGUACGGUAUUGACGCUGAGGCGCGAAAGCGUGGGGAGCAAACAGGAUUAGAUACCCUGGUAGUCCACGCCGUAAACGAUGUCUGCUAGCCGUUUGGACACUUAGUGUCUGGGUGGCGCCGCUAACGCAUUAAGCAGACCGCCUGGGGAGUACGGUCGCAAGAUUAAAACUCA
rnacentral:rRNA from 1 species